rnacentral:lncRNA from 1 species
AGACUUUAUCCACUAUUACCAUAACAAUAAAAAAAAGAUUAGAUACUUCUUCAUCAUCCUCUAUUCGGUAUUGUAAAUUAAUUUCUUACAUAAUUAAAAAAAUAGAAUAUAUAAUACUUGAGAAAAGAUAAUAAUUUAAAAUGUUAAAAGAAAUUGGGGUUUAAAAAAAUAGAUUAGCUAAAUUAGAUAUUAAUAGAAAUUAUCAUGUAGGUGCACUUAAAAGUUAUUUACCCUUUAAAGUCAUUUACUAUGAGGAUAAAGUAGAUUUUAGCAUAAAAAUAGUUAGCAGGGGCUGAUAAAAUAUACUGAGAGAGUCAAAUAUCACAACUCUUUGUAAUACGAUAUUUCUUCGGAUAUUAGAUACACAAAUUUAUAGUACGUUAAAAAUCUGUCCGAGUAAUUUAAAAAUCUUCUUCCAAGGGAGUUCUACCUCUGGGCCUCUGGGCGAGCGAUGGGCUGGCCCAACUUUCUUCCAAACGUAAAGGGAGCAGAGAUUAUAAUUUGGCUACAUUAUAAUGUAACGUAACAUAACAAUGUUCUAUUUUUCAAAGUGAAAGUCAGAAAUAUCAACAUGGAAAGUAAAAGUAGACCAAGCUAAGUUAUCUUUCCAUGAAAUCGAAAGUAGACAAAGUUAAGACAUUGAUUUGGUCAAGCUAAGUUAUUUUCCAUUGCCCAAAUCAAUGGCUUUUUGGCAAAGACAAACUAUGAAAGCAAUCAAGACACACAAAAUUAGGUAAAACGAUGUCGUAUUAUUUUAUUAUAUUUAGAUUAAGAUAUGUCAUUGGAUUUUGGUCUUCGGACUCAAAGGGUCUAUUUGUUUAUGUCAUUGGGUCGAAUUUAAUAAAAAUACGAGUAUAACAAUUUUUAUAAGAGAUAAAUGAGUUGGUUAUAAGUAAUUGAACUCGCACUCAGAAUUUAGUUCUUGCAUAAUAAGAAAAUAGUUUUUAACACAACCAAUGGUCUAAAUAGUUUAAUAGCCUUACAAAUUAAUAACAAGAUAAGGUUGUUCAACUUAAAUUUUUAACUUAAAAAAUUGACAUAAAUUUUGAAUUAUUAAUUUCAAACAGUCUAAUACUAGAAUAAAUACUAAAAGUCAAGAUAAUAUUUAAUGAUAACUAUUCUAUCUACCACCGGAGUUCUUUAAAUCAUGACUCAAACUUUUAAGUGAAAAAUUUAAAUGAGAAUAAUUUAAAACUUAGUAAUAUAAUAUAUACCCUAAUAAUUUAAAUGUUGGGUCCGGCUAUGACAGUGCCAUCCAACCCACGAAAGGCACAAACCAUCGUUAUAUAUCGUGAUAUGAACUGGCUAAAAAUAUCGAACAUUCAUGUCGUGAUUAAGAGAAAAUGAGUGGGCACGGUCUGGCGGUAUGGUGGUGGUGGGGACACAACACAUUCAGGAAUCUUAGCACAUAAACAAUGACACGUAAGCAAGCCGGAAAAAGGUAAUUUUGUCAUUUUGCUCGAAAAGGUUCCAGCUGCCAAAAGCUGAACGGCUGGCCAAUUUUGCCAAGCAAGCCCGAGCUUUCGUUAAUGCUGCCAUCUUCUUUUUGUCAAAAAGAGAGAUGCUAUGCUAUUUUCUCAAAUUAUAUCCGAUCGGAUAUUGGAGUAUCCGAAUCUGAUCCGAUUCCCUGUCCUAACGACAAGACUUAUCGAACAUUUCUUUUCUAAUCGUUACGAUCUACACAUAAUCACACAUACAACAGUACAAAAAAUCUACUUAAAAAGUGCAACACACACAUAUAUUCACCGAGCUUUCACAUUCUAGCUCUGGGAUUCUAAAUAUCUCGAGCCUUAGGCAUCCCGACACAAAAGUCCUGCUUUUUUUUUUUUUCUUUUAAAGAUAAGAGUGAGUCAUAUCUAAAUAAUUUUUAUUUUUUCCUUACCUCUCCUAAGACUCAAUUUCAUGUGGUCAUUUGCUACAAACUUCAUCUGUUACCAACCCGACUAUACCCUUAGCGGCAAAGUCCUGCAUCUUGAGAGUUCUCCCAAUUGAAAAUCCGAAGAGACAUAAUCUUUAAUCCUAGUUAGAUACUUUCGAAGAAAAUAGUCAAAACAUGGCAUAUAAACAGUGUUAGAAAACUCUAAUGUACAUGUGUUACAACUUUUUUUUUUUUUUUAUUUGGGGAAAUAGUCACUUGAUUGAUAGAGAAGUCUUUCUUCGUCGGUUGGUGUUUGGUAACCCAACAAUUAUGUGUUUCAUAAAUUGGCAUGCUUUUUGUAUUAUUUAUUUUACCCUCUUUCACGCCGCUUUUGAAAAUUGUGAACGACUAAUUAACUCCUUGGUGUAAUCAAGCAGUAGUCUAGUCUCCUUGGGCCAAAAGUAGCAUUGCAGUAGGGAGAAAAGUGGGCAAGAGCCAACUAAACCAACUUGAACAAUGAAUAUGAUCCGCAAAAACACACUCAAGUGACGAGAAUGGUCAAGCUGUUCAAGCAAAGGCAGUGAUUUGAUACAGCAACUACCAGGCACCAGCUUUUGGGAAUUAAUGGCAAGCAAACGCUAACCCGGACCCAUUCUCACACCACGUGCCUUUAAAAAUUGAAAGCCAAGUUUUAUUGAGUUUUAAAUGCUUUGCAUUUAUGAGGCCGUGGUUGAGCAGAUAUGGACGGUUCCUUAUUUAUGUGACCCUUGCUUUUGGGUCAUGCUAUGGUACGGCUGAAUGCAUGGUACUGAACUUAUUAGUGAUAACUGAUAAGUUAUAGCCAUCCGUUGCCCAAUCUCUUGAUUGGAGUUUUUUGUGUUACGAAGUUUGUCUUCUUUGCUGUCCAAUUUUUUUUUUUUUAAUUUGUAAUAGAAAAUUUGAUAUUAAAAAAUAAGACUACAAGAACAAUUUAUACCAUACAUUCACCAUAAGUAGCGCUACUAUUGCCAUAAAGAAUUGCGACCAAUAAUCUUGGUGGCUUACUCCAUCCUAGGGGAAGUGAUGUUAAAGUCUCCCUCCAUUUGUAAUAUGGAAGGAGGCUUUCUUCCAAAUAAAUUGGGAACAUAGAUCACAAUUAGGCAGGUCGGAUAAUGAUUUUUUUAUAAUAUAAUAUUUCUUAGGACACACACAUAGGGUUAAUUUCAAAUUACCCUUGUGAAUCAAUUAUCUUCAAAAUCGCUCUCUUCAUUUUUAAAAAUUUCAAUUUACUCUCAUUUUUGUUAAAAAGAGCUAAAAAGGUUUUAUCAUUCCAUCGCCAUUUUUUCUUGUCCUUUGAUUAAAAGUAUGGAUAAUUUGAGAUUUUCAAAAGUAAAUGAAGGGAUUUGAAAGUAGGCCAUUUACAAGGAGUAUAAUCUGAAAUCUGCCUAUAUAUAAAUGUAUAGUAUGGUAUAACCUAAAAAUCUAUUGAACAAUAAUUUAAAAAUCUGCUCCCAAUAAUAUCUAUCUAAUCUAAAUAUUUGGUAGUAGAAUGGUCUUUGACAGGACUCGAAUUACGUCUUUUAAUGUUGAGAGCUAAGUUGUAGUACUACACCAGAGGUAGCCUGGCCCAAUUUUCUUCCAAACGAAAAAGGGAGAUUAUUAUUGGUCUAUAUUAUAAUGUAGGGCGAUAAUAUUAGACCCCUCGUUAUAUCUCAUAAGUCUUACUUCUCUCAGUUAAUCACAUUAAAAAUUUUAAACUAAUUUUUAUUUCUUAAGAUACCCCACUUAAUCUCAAAUUUACCCUUAUUAUAAUUUUUAUCUUUUUUCUAGGCAUUCACCAUAUCAAAC